CACGUUGUCCCACGUUUACAUGAUUUUCAGAAUAAAUUCUCUCCGUGUAGGAUCUCUGUCUAGGAAUUGCGUAAUCAUUAGUAAUUGCACAUUAUGUAUCGUACUGCGUGUAUGAAUAAUCGCGUCGAUAGAUGUUUCACGAUCGCCAGCAUCGUUGUGAUCGUUCUAGUAUUUGCAAGAUUAUUGGAGCGUGAUUCGCAGUUAGGAGUGAGAAAGCGUAGAUGGGCGGGACCGUACGAGUUGGAUGAGAGAAGAGAAGAGAGCGAGAGACGAAGGAAACGUCGGAGAUGGAGGAGAAGAGGAAGAGACGCAGUGGGGAAUUCGAGUCUGACUGUAUAAGGAGGAGGGUAGUUCGGGAGGGUGGCUCAGGGUGCUACCCCCAGAUGGGUGUUACAGGGGUGCAGGGUGGUGGUAGUGCUGCGAUGGCGAAGUGACCUUGGCAGUCAGGAAUCCGGUCUGACAACAUGAAUCGACACAACCCACUGGCGUAAGAAUCCCUUCGUCCAUCCAUCUAUGUAUCCACUUAUUCGUCCGCGACGUCGUGGGACACUACCUUACUCGAUCGACGUGCGUUGGAUAAAUAUUCGACGUUCGAAUUAAAUUUACUAUAAACUGAACGAACACACGCGCAGUCACAGAACUCAAUUUAAGUCCUUUGAAAUCACGCAGGCGAAAAGAUUUUAGUGUUGCUUCUUGACGUGUGAUAUAAUAUACACGUAUGCAUAUCGUGCGUGGUUUUGUUGCAACGUGAGUAUUUACACGCGAAAAGUUUAUUGAUUUGAAACAUCGAUCUCGUUAAAUUUUAUCAAAUCACACAUUUUCUUAACACCUACAUUGUUACGAAAUAUCGUUGCAUAAUAAAGAGAAGAAAUUUAUAGAACUUCGCGUACUUUUUUUUUCAAACAAAAUUCUAUCGCAAUAUAUCGUAUAUGCAACAAAAUUACGUGUCUCGCUUGUGCACUCGCGAUACAUUCUCAUUUUUCUUUCCCUCCCUUUCGUUGGUCCAUCUAUCGCCUUAGUCUUGAAGCGCAGCGGCUCAUCGAAAUUUUGAAUGUAGGUUUACGUGAUUAUAGUUAUAUUUAUACGAGCAGAUCCGAACGAAAAGGAACGAACGAAGCACGCGCCCGUGCUGUACGAGUUGAACGGCCUUAAGGACUCAGGUGCGCGCACCAGGUGUUCGUCGUUUUGCGAGUAAACGUGCGAACGAGCGACAAGAAUGAAACUAUCAAAGGAAGAAGAAAGAGAGAAGGAAGACUAAGACAUAUCAUGACCGAAUGAGAAAGAUGAUCGAACGGAGGCAUAAGAGGACGAGUGGAUCAACAUACCUAUUUAUUUGGAGAUAUUGCUGUUAAACCAAAUAAACUAUCGUGUAAUUGAAGAAAUUUUGCAAUUAAAUCAAUUGUAUAAAUCAUGCGGCAGGAGAAAUUCGAACAUUGGAAAGAAAGAUGACAUCUUACUUCUUUUGAGAGAUGAAACGAAAGGAUACAACGUUGCGCGUAAUAUAAAUCUAAUCGCGUUUGAUAUCUUCGAUCAUGACGCAUAUAAAGGCAUCACGGAGUAAAAUCGGAGAGGAGAUCCGUAUAUCGCGCCGGCUGUUUUUCAUUAAACGGAAACUCACUACAGUUUAAUCGAAUU